rnacentral:rRNA from 1 species
UACGGAGGGUGCAAGCGUUGUCCGGAAUCACUGGGCGUAAAGGGCGCGUAGGCGGUUCCUUAAGCGGGCGGUGAAAGCUCAGGGCUCAACUCUGAGUCGGCCAUGCGAACUGGGGGACUCGAGCACUGUAGAGGCAGGUGGAAUUCCGGGUGUAGCGGUGGAAUGCGUAGAGAUCCGGAAGAACACCGGUGGCGAAGGCGGCUCACUGGCCCGGUACUGACACUGAGAUGCGAAAGCGUGGGGAGCAAACAGG